rnacentral:rRNA from 1 species
ACAUGCAAGUCGGACGGCAGCACAGAGAAGCUUGCUUCUUGGGUGGCGAGUGGCGAACGGGUGAGUAACGCAUCGGAACGUACCGAGUAAUGGGGGAUAACUGUCCGAAAGGACAGCUAAUACCGCAUACGCCCUGAGGGGGAAAGCGGGGGAUCUUAGGACCUCGCGUUAUUCGAGCGGCCGAUGUCUGAUUAGCUGGUUGGCGGGGUAAAGGCCCACCAAGGCGACGAUCAGUAGCGGGUCUGAGAGGAUGAUCCGCCACACUGGGACUGAGACACGGCCCAGACUCCUACGGGAGGCAGCAGUGGGGAAUUUUGGACAAUGGGCGCAAGCCUGAUCCAGCCAUGCCGCGUGUCUGAAGAAGGCCUUCGGGUUGUAAAGGACUUUUGUCAGGGAAGAAAAGGGGCAUGUUAAUACCGUGCUCUGAUGACGGUACCUGAAGAAUAAGCACCGGCUAACUACGUGCCAGCAGCCGCGGUAAUACGUAGGGUGCGAGCGUUAAUCGGAAUUACUGGGCGUAAAGCGGGCGCAGACGGUUACUUAAGCGGGAUGUGAAAUCCCCGGGCUCAACCCGGGAACUGCGUUCCGAACUGGGUGGCUAGAGUGUGUCAGAGGGGGGUAGAAUUCCACGUGUAGCAGUGAAAUGCGUAGAGAUGUGGAGGAAUACCGAUGGCGAAGGCAGCCCCCCUGGGAUAACACUGACGUUCAUGCCCGAAAGCGUGGGUAGCAAACAGGAUUAGAUACCCUGGUAGUCC